GACGAACGCUGGCGGCGUGCUUAACACAUGCAAGUCGAACGAAGUGGCGAACGGGUGAGUAACGCGUAAUCCACCUGCCCUUCAGAGGGGGACAACAGUUGGAAACGACUGCUAAUACCGCAUACUGAAGGUGGGGAUUGCGUCUGGUUAGCUAGUUGGAGGGGUAACGGCCCACCAAUGCGAUGAUCAGUAGCCGGUCUGGGAGGAUGAACGGCCACAUGGGGACUGGGACACGGGCCAGAAUCCGACGGGAGGCAGCAGGGGGGAAUCUUCCGAAAUGGAGGAAAGUCUGACGGAGCAACGCCGGGGGAGUGAUGACGGCAUUCGGGUUGUAAAGCUCUGUUAAUCGGGACGCGGUACCGGAAUAGAAAGCCACGGCUAACUACGUGCCAGCAGCCGCGGUAAUAC
rnacentral:rRNA from 1 species